rnacentral:rRNA from 1 species
CCUACGGGAGGCAGCAGUGAGGAAUAUUGGACAAUGGGCGCAAGCCUGAUCCAGCCAUGCCGCGUGCAGGAAGAAGCAUCUAUGGUGUGUAAACUGCUUUUGUACAGGAAGAAACACUCCCUCGUGAGGGAGCUUGACGGUACUGUAAGAAUAAGGACCGGCUAACUCCGUGCCAGCAGCCGCGGUAAUACGGAGGGUCCGAGCGUUAUCCGGAAUCAUUGGGUUUAAAGGGUCCGUAGGCGGUUUAAUAAGUCAGUGGUGAAAUCUGGUCGCUCAACGAUCAAACGGCCAUUGAUACUGUUAGACUUGAAUUAUAAGGAAGUAACUAGAAUAUGUAGUGUAGCGGUGAAAUGCUUAGAUAUUACAUGGAAUACCAAUUGCGAAGGCAGGUUACUACUUAUGGAUUGACGCUGAUGGACGAAAGCGUGGGGAGCGAACAGGAUUAGAUACCCUGGUAGUCCACGCCGUAAACGAUGGAUACUAGCUGUUCGGAGCAAUCUGAGUGGCUAAGCGAAAGUGAUAAGUAUCCCACCUGGGGAGUACGUUCGCAAGAAUGAAACUCAAAUGAAUUGAGG